rnacentral:rRNA from 1 species
UACGGAGGGAGCUAGCGUUGUUCGGAAUUACUGGGCGUAAAGCGCUCGUAGGCGUCUUGUAAGUUAGAGGUGAAAGCCCGGAGCUCAACUCCGGAAUUGCCUUUAAAACUGCAUCGCUUGAAUCCGGGAGAGGUGAGUGGAAUCCGAGUGUAGAGGUGAAAUUCGUAGAUAUUCGGAAGAACACCAGUGGCGAAGGCGGCUCACUGGACCGGUAUUGACGCUGAGGUGCGAAAGCGUGGGGAGCAAACAGGAU